UUGGAGGGCAAGUCUGGUGCCAGCAGCCGCGGUAAUUCCAGCUCCAAUAGCGUAUAUUAAAGUUGUUGCAGUUAAAAAGCUCGUAGUUGAAUUUCGGGAUCGAAUUGUUGGUCGUGCCUCGGUACGCACUGGCAUUAUCGGUUCCUACCUUCUGAAGAACCGCGAUGUCAUUAAUUUGGUGUCGUGGGGAAUCAGGACUGUUACUUUGAAAAAAUUAGAGUGUUUAAAGCAGGCUUACGCUUGAAUACAUUAGCAUGGAAUAAUGAAAUAGGACGUUUGAUUCUAUUUUGUUGGUUUCUAGGAUCGACGUAAUGAUUAAUAGGGAUAGUUGGGGGCAUUAGUAUUCAAUUGUCAGAGGUGAAAUUCUUGGAUUUAUUGAAGACUAACUACUGCGAAAGCAUUUGCCAAGGAUGUUUUCAUUAAUCAAGAACGAAAGUUAGGGGAUCGAAGACGAUCAGAUACCGUCGUAGUCUUAACCAUAAACUAUGCCGACUAGGGAUCGGAUGAUGUUAAUUUUAUAAUGACUCAUUCGGCGCCUUACGGGAAAC
rnacentral:rRNA from 1 species